GCUGCCGUAGCUCAGUCGGUAGAGCGCCACCUUGGUAAGGUGGAGGUCCUGGGUUCAAAUCCCAGUGGCAGCU
rnacentral:tRNA from 1 species